rnacentral:tRNA from 1 species
GGCUGUGUAGCUCAGCUGGUCAGAGCGAACGACUCAUAAUCGUUAGGUCGACAGUUCAAGUCUGUCCACAGCCACCA